UUAAACAUGGUUUUUGAUUGUAAUUGAACUUUGAGCAUAUUUCUUCAACUUAUGUGCUUUUUUUCCGAACUUAUUUAAAAACAUGAAUCUUCUCAUGUUUCUUUUUUAAGUUGUUUUUUUUUCCUUCAGCUAUACUGCUAGUAGCCUAGUAACCUAGUUGUUUCUCAUCUACAUCUACACUACUAUUAAAAGAGCAAACAUGAAUUCCUCUAAAACCACACUACGAAGUGUACACAGAAGUAUCAGAGACGUUUGAUCAAUCCCACUAAAUCACAUUCAACGUUCUAUAUUACAUCGAAGGUCUACCACACAAAUCAACGCUCUUGAUUAAAUGUUCUGCAGACUACCCCGCCCACGUCCUGCUUCUCCCACGAUCUAUACCUCACGCAAGCAAAUCGCCGCACAACACGCCGCUAGACGCAAAUGAGCCCCUAUUCAUCAGGUUGACCUUCCCUGCCUUGACUGCGCCCCCGCCUCCCUCCCCACCCCGCCGUGCUCCCUCUCCCUCCCCUCUAUGGUCGUAUGACGCCCGCUGCCGGUGCAACCUCCCUUCGCCCCCGCUCGACGUCGCCCUGCCCGUCUGCCUCUCCCAUGGCGCACGGCACCUGCCGCCGGACCCGCCCUUCCGCCAUCUCCUGUAUCGUCGGCGCAACCUCCCUUCGCACCGCUCGCCGUCGGGUUGUCCGGCCCGUCCGCCUCUCCUACGACGCCAGCCUCCAGCCCCGCCAUCUCCUGUGGUGCACGACGCCCGCCGCUGGCCCCGCCCUUCCGCAUCUCCUAUGGCUCGCGCGCCUGUCCGUCGGCCACGCCCGUCCGCCUCUCCUGUGGCACACGACUGUUGCUGUGUACGUCUGGAACAACGCCACAGGGUGGCCCUCCCUCAUCGGUUGAAAGCGCUCUUGGUUCUGCUGAAAAGCUUGUGAGAGCAUCACCUGAUGAGCUGUUCCACUACUAGGGUGAUCUUGUUCAAGCACUGGUACAUGUUCGUUGUUCUGAUGUCGUGAUAGAGGGUGAGGAAGAUUUUGCGGAAGAAAAGUGACAGAAGGCAUUAGUCGCCUUGCUGGUAACCAGCCCAUUUGAAUCAUUUUUGCUUUGCAUUUUCUUCAGGAUUUGGUACAUGUGUAUUUUCACAUAAUUUUUAACAAACCAAUUCAUAGAUUCGUUGUAUAUGAAUAACCGACCAAACAAAGACCGGUGAUAAUCAGCGUCAUCCCGGACCUAACGAACAUUUUAGUCUGAAUUUAUCUAACACUAUGGGAAUAGGGUAAAUGAUAACCAAAAGUUAGAAAUCUGACAUUAUGAUUGAUCAUACUAUCUGUAAUCCAUACUCUUCUGCUUUAUGGGAGUUAGUCUGUCGAUCAUCAUGACCAACUGAAAAUAAUUAAACCGGUAGAUCCCGACCUCAAAUGGCGCGAGUGCUCUAUGAAAGCAUGGGAUUUACCCCGCUAAUGUACUUGUAUUAGGACGUUCUCUACACGUUCGGAAUAGAUUAUCAAGAAAAUUUAUCUAAAGUCUGAUCAAAUUCAUUUAGAUUCAGUUUAAUUAUAGUGUCUGUUCAUUUUUUACAUUGAUUUUAUCAUAUUAUAAAAUUGUCAUACCAUAUAGUUCUUAAAACUGCAUAUGUUUUCCUGCUGCAAGUGCCACUGUUGUCACAAUGCUGCAAAGAGACGGUGCAUGGAUGCAUUUUUUAACUCUCAUGAGUGCUUGUAGAAGAAGAAUUGUACAAUGCGGAAAGAUGUUAUUUGCAUCUGCAAAGAGGGAUCAUAUUUGUAGAUUGAUUCCAUAAGAAUCAGGUCACUCCUUGACUAAUUCGAUCUUGAAUCAUUUGCAUUUUUUUAACAUGGUUGGAGAUGUCGUGUAGCAGGAGCAGGAGCUAAUGGACAGUCAGUGAGCCCCAAGGGCGGUGGCCCCUGCAACAUGAAGAAGACCAUCCAGACAAAGGGGAGGUACACGGAUAGCCAAGGAUGCAAGGAGACGUGCAGGUCUGCGUUUCAGAGUUAUCUCUUUCAGCACCAGCGAUUAAAUGGUCCGUAGCUGGUCAGGCGUGCUUGCAUAAAAUGUACUUUGUUAGUUGCUAGAGCCAUGCUAGCUUUGUAUGUUGUUCUUGCAGCCUCAACUAGCUAAUUCUAUUUAAAGCUAAUGUUGUUCUAUCCUUCCAAUUACUGUUGUUAUUCAGAUUUUUUUCUUUUUUUGUUGUCAUUCAGAGUACAAAUGUUAUGAGAAUUUCAGGAUUUUUGUCAUAUCUCCCAAUUACCUUAAUUUUGUAAGUUGUGUUCUAAUUCAAUUUUGAUUUCCUUUCACAAUAGCCUACUUUAAAGCUGUGUGAAUCCAUUAUUUUCCUUUUGAGUUUGCUGUAGAGCAGUGGAGGCGAGUUGGGAACCUUUUUUUUUAACUUGGUGGAUGUACUGUUGUAGCGAUGGAGAUUUGCCUGAAUGUUGCUUUCCUCCGCGUGAAGUGCCUAGAAUUCUCGAAGGCGUCAACAAGACCCGAAGGAGAUUGACAAAGU